rnacentral:rRNA from 1 species
GGCGGACGGGUGAAGUAACGCGUGGGAACCUGCCCAGUGGUAGGGAAUAACUGCGGGAAACUGCAGCUAAUACCCUAUGAGCCCUACGGGGGACAGAUUUAUCUGCCAUUGGAGGGGCCCGCGUCGGAUUAGCUAGUUGUAGGGUAACGGCCUACCAAGGCGAACGGAUCCGUAGCUGGUCUGAGAGGAUGAUUCAGCCACAAUGGGACUGAGAUACGGGCCAGACUCCUACGGGAGGCAGAGUGGGGCAAUAUUGGCAAUGGGGGAAAGCCUGAUCCAGGGAUGCCGCGUUUAUUCACGAAUGGCCUACAGGGGUGGUAAAGGCCCUUUCGGCGGGGACCGAUUGUUCACCGGUUCCCGGGGAAAGAAGCCCCCGCUUAAACUCCGUGCAAGGAGCCGCG